AUUGAACGCUGGCGGCAUGCCUUACACAUGCAAGUCGAGCGGCAGCACGGGUGCUUGCCCCUGGUGGCGAGUGGCGAACGGGUGAGUAAUACAUCGGAACAUGUCCUGUAGUGGGGGAUAGCCCGGCGAAAGCCGGAUUAAUACCGCAUACGAUCUACGGAUGAAAGCGGGGGACCUUCGGGCCUCGCGCUAUAGGGUUGGCCGAUGGCUGAUUAGCUAGUUGGUGGGGUAAAGGCCUACCAAGGCGACGAUCAGUAGCUGGUCUGAGAGGACGACCAGCCACACUGGGACUGAGGCACGGCCCAGACUCCUACGGGAGGCAGCAGUGGGGAAUUUUGGACAAUGGGCGAAAGCCUGAUCCAGCAAUGCCGCGUGUGUGAAGAAGGCCUUCGGGUUGUAAAGCACUUUUGUCCGGAAAGAAAUCCUUGGCUCUAAUACAGUCGGGGGAUGACGGUACCGGAAGAAUAAGCACCGGCUAACUACGUG
rnacentral:rRNA from 1 species